rnacentral:rRNA from 1 species
UACGAAGGGUGCUAGCGUUGUUCGGAAUCAUUGGGCGUAAAGCGCACGUAGGCGGCCUGAUAAGUCGGGUGUGAAAGCCCUGGGCUCAACCCAGGAAGUGCACUCGAAACUGUCAGGCUUGAAUAUGGAAGAGGGUCGCGGAAUUCCCGGUGUAGAGGUGAAAUUCGUAGAUAUCGGGAGGAACACCAGUGGCGAAGGCGGCGACCUGGGCCAAUAUUGACGCUGAGGUGCGAAAGCGUGGGGAGCAAACAGG